GGAGCUGAAUCUCUUAUUAGGGGCACAGGAAGCAGAAUGCUGAAAUUACUGGAGAUACAAGGGACACAAUUACUGACAUACAGAAUGACUCAGGUCUCAUGUACAGCACUGUCACAGCAAGGGCCACGACCUCUGACCCUGCACAGAGAGUGCCCACACCUGAUCAAAACGAUGUUCAGUAUGCAAGCGUUCGGAUCAAUCGCUCCAAAACACAGGAAGUACCUCUAUACGCCACCGUCCAGAAGCCUCAAACCUCCACGCAGGACGACGAUGUUGCCUACUCAUCAGUCCAGUUUCUCAGAGGAAGGGCUGCCACCAGGGCUGAGAUUGACGUGAUCUACAGUGCAGUCAUCAAACCAUGACAGGCCCGUGAAACAGCAGACCAGAAUUGCCCUCAGGUUAUCAAAGCCGUCCAUCAGAACAAGACAUACUCAGUCUUUACAAGAAAUCCUUUUGAAGUAUUACCUUUGGUGUGAAAUUCUUUAGAUUUAACUUUUUAUGUUUCUAUGUUGUUACUGCCAAAAUGCCAUAUAGCAUUGCAUUUUGUCUUUGUUACAAUAUUCAUUCAGAAUCGCUUUAAAUGUUCUAUAGUAGUAAAUCAUGACUUUGAAUGUAAUGUUUUAUUUAUUUAUUAUAUAUACAGAUAUUAGAUAUUCCUCAGAUGUUAGAUAUUCCUUAAAUUCCUCUCUGGAUUUACACGAGUUAAACAAACUCUUACUAUUUUUGAAAUCAUGAACAAGGAUUUUACACACUCAAACAUUUUCAUUAUUGGUAUUUUGUUCAAUAACCUUGCAUUUCAUUGCCUAGUCAUACUGAAUGAUCAGCUGGAGAACGUCAUUGUUCCAUACAUGCAAUUGCUCAAGUGAAAAUGAAAGUAACAUUUUCCUCAUAGAAGAAAGAUAUUUAAGAAUGUAUACAUUCAAGCCUUUAACAAGGCUUGAUUGAUGUGUAGAAACCUUACCUAAAAAAUGUACAGCUAUAUUCUAACCCUCUCAUUUUAGAUAAAUAAAAGAUUAUUUUAGCACAA